AGAGUUUGAUCCUGGCUCAGAUUGAACGCUGGCGGCAGGCUUAACACAUGCAAGUCGAGCGGAAACGAUGAUAGCUUGCUAUCAGGCGUCGAGCGGCGGACGGGUGAGUAAUACUUAGGAAUCUACCUAGUAGUGGGGGAUAGCACGGGGAAACUCGUAUUAAUACCGCAUACGACCUACGGGAGAAAGGGGGCAGUUUACUGCUCUCGCUAUUAGAUGAGCCUAAGUCGGAUUAGCUAGAUGGUGGGGUAAAGGCCUACCAUGGCGACGAUCUGUAGCUGGUCUGAGAGGAUGAUCAGCCACACCGGGACUGAGACACGGCCCGGACUCCUACGGGAGGCAGCAGUGGGGAAUAUUGGACAAUGGGGGAAACCCUGAUCCAGCCAUGCCGCGUGUGUGAAGAAGGCCUUUUGGUUGUAAAGCACUUUAAGCAGUGAAGAAGACUCCGUGGUUAAUACCCACGGACGAUGACAUUAGCUGCAGAAUAAGCACCGGCUAACUCUGUGCCAGCAGCCGCGGUAAUACAGAGGGUGCAAGCGUUAAUCGGAAUUACUGGGCGUAAAGGGAGCGUAGGUGGCUCUAUAAGUCAGAUGUGAAAUCCCCGGGCUCAACCUGGGAACUGCAUCUGAAACUGUAGAGCUAGAGUAUGUGAGAGGAAGGUAGAAUUCCAGGUGUAGCGGUGAAAUGCGUAGAGAUCUGGAGGAAUACCGAUGGCGAAGGCAGCCUUCUGGCAUAAUACUGACACUGAGGCUCGAAAGCGUGGGUAGCAAACAGGAUUAGAUACCCUGGUAGUCCACGCCGUAAACGAUGUCUACUAGUCGUUGGGUCCCUUGAGGACUUAGUGACGCAGCUAACGCAAUAAGUAGACCGCCUGGGGAGUACGGCCGCAAGGUUAAAACUCAAAUGAAUUGACGGGGGCCCGCACAAGCGGUGGAGCAUGUGGUUUAAUUCGAUGCAACGCGAAGAACCUUACCUGGUCUUGACAUAUCUAGAAUCCUGCAGAGAUGCGGGAGUGCCUUCGGGAAUUAGAAUACAGGUGCUGCAUGGCUGUCGUCAGCUCGUGUCGUGAGAUGUUGGGUUAAGUCCCGCAACGAGCGCAACCCUUGUCCUUAGUUACCAGCGGGUUAAGCCGGGAACUCUAAGGAUACUGCCAGUGACAAACUGGAGGAAGGCGGGGACGACGUCAAGUCAUCAUGGCCCUUACGACCAGGGCUACACACGUGCUACAAUGGUAGGUACAGAGGGCAGCUACACAGCGAUGUGAUGCGAAUCUCAAAAAGCCUAUCGUAGUCCAGAUUGGAGUCCGCAACUCGACUCCAUGAAGUAGGAAUCGCUAGUAAUCGCGGAUCAGAAUGCCGCGGUGAAUACGUUCCCGGGCCUUGUACACACCGCCCGUCACACCAUGGGAGUUGAUUGCACCAGAAGUGGAUAGCUUAACCUUCGGGGAGGCGUUCACCACGGUGUGGUUGAUGACUGGGGUGAAGUCGUAACAAGGUAACC
rnacentral:rRNA from 1 species